UCCCUUCAGAGGCUUUAAAGAUUAAGGUCAUGGACCGUUCUUACUCCUGGAACCUGCGAGAGAGGAAAAAACCCACGGACCAUGGGAGGAGACAUCGAUCCGGACGGCACUCAACGGGCCUAAGGAGGCUGAGGACGGGGCAGACCCCCCUCCCUCUUAGCUCGGAACCCAAGGGCGGAGGAAGCAGGGGCCACACCGCCCGCGGGCACGCGGCCCGAUUGGCCAAUCGCCGCCAUUACGCCCUGCUCUGUUCUUUGAUUGGUCUUAGCGGUGACGCCCCUUCCCGAAUUCCUCGCUUGGGUUGGCCCAUUCUUUGUUCUGACCUGGACGGUGGCCAGAGGAGGACAAGAGACUCCCGUACGGAACGGAGGGAUGAUUUGGGUGACGCCUGAGACGCAGCUGCACAUCAAUAAGCAGCCGGGGCCUGGAGACGUGGCGGCGGCCUCUGCGGUUGCGGUCAUGCUGGUGGCGACUGAGAGGAACCGGUGGGAACGUGUCCCGAGCCGCCGCUGCCGCUGAGAUUGUCAGACUGCACACCACAUGGACUUCUUGCCCUGCCUGUCAGGCCACCCAGAGUUUGAGGCUGGAAAUGAGCCUACACAUAUCUUUCAGCAUCACGAUGAUCAAUUUCCCUUCUGAGGGCCUCAGCCAGAGAAGUUUCCUACCAGGCAGCUCUGGGUCUCAUCCCCAAGGAGAAAGCUGGAACCAGUGCUUUCAAAGUUCAGACAUGACACAAGAUUCAGGCUAUGCGUUUAUGGAAGAAAUACCACAUAAGCAAUGCUGUGUUCUCUGUGCAUUAUUUCAGGAGGCUGUGCAAGAUCCAAAAGAUCAUUCUGGCGCUUGAGAACUAUAUGGGAGCAGCUUUUCAUUCCUGCGUUGUGGAAUUGACAUUCAAAAUGAAAUGCAAAAAAUGCAGACGGACACAGCACGUACAGUUAUUGGUACUCCAGGGAAGACAUUUGAUAUGUUAAAUAAGUAUAUCUUUGUUGUGUUGCUUUCUGCCUCAACGUCAACAGAUAUGUUGGAAGUGGUCAAAAAGUUCAUGAGAGAUCCAUUUAAAAUUGAAGUGGAGAAGGAAGAAUUGACCCUUGAAAGUGUCAAUAUUUUAUAAGAAUUUUGAAAGAGGGUGGUGACAGAAAGAAAGAGACGUUAUCAAGAGGGAGUUCAGUGAAAUAAAUUCAUGUAUUGCUUUUCAAGUAUGAUUUUGUCAGCCAACCUUGAAAAUCAGGUAAAUGAAUCAGAAAAUGUAGUAACGUGAUAAGAUGUAUUUAAAUUGUACGUGGGAAGAUUCAGGGUUGAUCAGAACACAGUGGGAAAGCAAAUGAGAAAUGUAGCCCAGAUUUUGGACUUUAUACAGUUGUUAGUCAAAGGAAAAAAUCAAUAAUGCUGUUAGAUCUGGUUUAGCUUACACACGAGGCUUUUUUUAAGUUAUGUUGCUCAUAUCUUGUGCUUUCUUGGUGAUUCCUCUCUAAUUGUGAUUUUCUCAGCAUUUUCUGGUAGCAAUUUAUGCUGACUCUGGCUUAGGUAUAGUGGUUUUAGCACUAAAUAAUUGCAUUAUGUCUUCCUACUAAAGUAAAAAUAACUUUGUUAAAAAAAAUAUAGUAGUUGAUAAGAAUAGAUGACAAAGUGGUGCUCAGAAAUGGCAUUGGCCUGUUAGGACAUAGAUUUGUAAGUGAAACAGAAUAUUGUUUGGAUAAAAAGCAAGUCAGUAUUUCCAUAUUUGUUUUUCUCUUGUCUUGGUUAUUUGAUGUUUUAAAUUGUUCCAGCCAAGACGUUUUUUUUUAACAAAAGUUUCAUGUGUUUUAAUGUCAAGUCAAUUUUACCAAUUUUUUUUUGUUUCUGUUCUUUUUCUCUUUUUAUAUUUAUUUUAUUGAAGUAUAAUUGACAUACAAUAUCCUAUUAAUUUCAAGUGUACAUCAUAGUGAUUCAAUAUUUAUAUACAUUAUGAAAUGAUCGCAAGAAGUCUAGUUAUCGUCUGUCACCAUACAGAGUUAUUACAAUGUUAUUGACUGUAUUCCCUAUGCUGUGUAUUACAUCCCCAUGACUUACUUAUUUUAUUACUGGAAGUUUGUACCUCUUAAUCUCCUUUACUUAUUUUGCCCCCUGCCCCAAC